CUGCGAACGAGACCUCCUCCCCUCGCGCAAACACGCAAAAAUAGGAAGGUUCUCAAUCUCAGCCAGCGUUCCUUCACUGCGUUCAUCUCUUUCCAGGCACCCAGCGCUCUUUCCUUCCCUGCGUUCCUGCGCCAUCCAGGCCUCCCCUCUCCGGUCCUUUGCGACGGUGCUCUUUCAUUGACUGCGUUCCUGCCUCUACGGAAUCGAGCCCGCCGCUGAUUUCCUGCCUCCGCGGCAUCGAGGCCUCCCUUCUCCGGUCCUCUGCGACGGCGCCGCAACCCAGGCUCCUCUGCGCUGACGCCGCAACCCAGGCACCCAGCUCGGCGUUGCGUCCUCUCGUUCUGGACGGCUACGCAACCCAGGCUCCUCUGCGCCGACGCCGCAACCCAGGCAACCAACUCGGCGCUGCGUCCACUGGUUCUGGACGGCGCCGCAACCCAGGCCCGUGCAGUGUUAAAUCUUUUGCCCUCGCAUCCGCCAUCUUCUGGACUGGCCUCGGGAGUUCAUCUGGUGGCUGCUGGAUCAAGACGUCUGACGUCUUCUGCUCUGACUGGGGGAGUUCAUUUGGAGAUCACGACGUCGUCCGCAGUCCCUGUCACUCGCCGUGUGGCCGUGGAGAUAAGGCUGAAGAUUAGUAGAUGCAGACUUAAAUGAUCUUCCUCAGGAUCUGCACUGCUUCCUUCAACAAGUGAUGUGUUUCCCCACUGCUUCGGCCCAGUUAUUGAUACAGAAAUAGUUUCAUCUGGCUCUUCAAUUAGUUCCUCAAUUGCCCUUUCGGGUGUCUCUUUUGUUGCAUUUUCUAUUGUCCCUUCAGCUGUAUUUUUAGAUGUUAUCUCUGUUACUUUUUCAGCUGUUUCUUCAGUUGGUGCAUCAUUUAUUUUUUCGGCUGGCUCAUCAGUUGGUGAUUCAGCUAUCUUUUGAGUAGGUAGUUCAAUUGAUUUUUCAAUUAUGUGGUCAGCUUGGCUCUUCCAUAAGUUUGUCAAUAUGCUUUUCAAUUGGUUUAUCCAGCAGCUUUUCAUCAGAGUUCUAAUGAUGCAGAGGUUUGUCCUCUGACUUCUCUUGAUGCAGAAUCUUCUCAUCUGGCUUGUCUUGUUGCAGAAGUUUCUCCGAGGCAUAAGAAUCUGUUGAAGUAUAAACAUUGUUGCUUAGUGUAAUGCCAACUUUAGCUUUGCUGGAACUAAGAGUUUCAGGUUCUGAGAUAACAGAGUUCUUGAAAAUUCAAUGUCUUGUAGACCUCCUACGAAAGUUCCAUCUGCUUUUAACGUCUGCUGCUUAUUGCCCGCCGCCGAACCACCGUGAUUGGGUGUCCUUCGGCUUCCACGCAGAAAGCACCGCGAGCGCUGCGACGUGCCCGCCGCCCAAGUUAACAAGCUCCCUAUUGAUAGUUCAAGUAAUGGGUUAUCUGAGUUCAUGUUUCAUUCAGAAGCGUGCUUGCAACCAGUCUCUUGAUAGUUCAGUUCCUAAAGUACUGGCAUUAUUUGAGUGUUGAUAGUAUAUACUGCUUGCACUCUAUGGUCAUUUAUCUAUCCAAUAUACUACUGCCAUUAUUUGAGUGUUGCCAGUUUUGCCAACUACUUGAGUUUCUGAAAUGAGUCAUAUAUGAUGUUAAUGUAUUGGAAAGUUUAUGUACUCACCUAGAAUCAUUUUAUUCAGAAUUGGUGCAGUGCAACAAGCUUUGAAAGGUAACUUCAGUUGACGACAACGUGCAGCUGACCUCCAAACAACAACAACAGGUUCACCCUUUCCAUGUUACCUUGUGGAGUAGUGUCGUCCCUGGUGCCUUUUCAGAAAAUUUAUAGAAAGCACAACUUCAGUGUCAUUAACCUAUAUUCAUGGCUUUGCACUACAGCACCGUUGUCUAGGUGUGUUCAAUUUCUUUCAUGUGUUUGUAGUCAAUUAACAUGACAAAAUAAAGAAUAAGCAUGGCUGAAUAUUCAGUCACCAGCGUUUGAAUGAAUUAGCAUGACUUAAUAUUCAGGUGUGUUCAAUUUCUUUUAUGUCUGUGCAAUAUAGUAGGGGUGCAUCCUAAAGGUUCAUGAGUUAGUCUAAGCUGGCUUCAUGAAUGAUUAUAGGGGUAAAAAGUUCAUAAGUAAAUGGGCUAAAAAAUAUAACAGCACCAGGUUGCCUUACUACUUAUGUACAAAUUCAUUAAGCACAAAAACUUGACGUGCAGAAUGACUAUAGGGAAUUUAGUUCACCAAUGCACAUUACAAGCUCAUAUAAUCAGGCUACCUGCCAUUCACAUAUAUAUUGAAUUGGGUUGCCAUUGUUGGUGUAGAAGCAUUCUGAACUGGCUUGCCAUGCUGACAUUGCUAUGGCUUUCACUAGCCAUUUACACCUUGCUGGCAGAAAGGCCAAAACCAAAAGAAAGGUUAAUCCAUCUUUUGAAUGUUAAUUUUGUUAUGUUUGAUCUCAUUUUAUUUAUGGCCGGAGAGCCUGUAGCGACACCCUCCAGGGCUGGCACGGUAUCCGGUGGGUAUGAUCUGAGAUCUGAUAAAUGAGAUCUCUGCCUCUAUUCCUCUGCUCACAGUCACUUGUUUGUCCUAUUGAUCGCCAUUUGGUUAUAUCAGUAUUCGUAUCUGGUCUAAUUACAUCUAUGUUAAUGUAUUAUGCCUGCUAGCUUAGACCACUAUCAUAGAUUAAUUUCUGAUUGGAACUAUGUCAAAUUUUUGUGUCAAGUUUGAUCACAAUGGAACCUAUGCAAAAUAAUAAAGGUCGUACACCGUUUGAAGACUUGACAAACACCACCAAUCGAGGUGACAAGACAACAUCAAAUUCACAAGCGCAAGUUGAUGAACGUGUACAACAUAAAAGGGAAAGAGAAAAAGCACGACAUGCAUCAAUGACUCAAACAGAAAGGGAUGAAAAAAAUAAAAAAGUUAGAAAAAAGUAUCAUAAAAAAGACGAAAACUGAAAUAUCUGCUGGCUCAAUAGGUCCACCACAAACAAUUUUUAACAACCAAACAUAGAAUAAAUAUUUGUUCUCAUAUAGAUACAUAAUCUUUAAUUAUUAUGUAAAUAGGUGUUGGGGUUGAAUCAAACAAGGAAAACACAGAUGCCACCGGUCUAAAAAGGGAAAGGGAAAAGGCGCGAUUAAUGGCGAUGACUUAGGAAGAAAGAAAUGAAAAGAAUAGAAAGUGUCGUGAACGAUAUCAUCAGAAAAAACAGGUAAACUUGAUUUUGCUUUUCUGAAUUCAAUAUUGCAUAUUUUUAGUUUAUUUAAUAUAUAAUGAUAAGAAGACCCCAACAACGGAUAUGGAGAAGAAAAAUAUGAAGAAGAAAAAUGCUAAAAAGAAUAGAAUGGGAAAAGACCUAAGAAUGCGUUAAAUAAAAAAGAUAAGGAUAAGCAGUCCUCAACAACGGAUGGAACUUUUACGAAAAAUAUUGUAUAUAAGGAGGUCCUGACGCCAAAAAUGAGGUUACAUUACUUUACUAACUCAUAAUUGCAUUUUUUAAUUCAAAUUUUUUCUGCACAAAUAUAUCUCCUAUCUCCGUAUUUGUUGUUGUUCUUAGGUAUUUUCAAUUGGCUUAUCAGACUCUACAGAGAGAUGUUCUAUACAUACUUAUAUGAUGGCAUAAUUACAUUUUAAGUGUUUUGUUGUAAAUAAAUAAAUUAUAUUUUAUUAUUAUUGGUUUACUACACAACAUACUCAUGGGUUGGUACAGAAUAGCUAUCUUUUUACGCUAAAAAUCUCCUAACAAUUGUAAAAUUUAUAAUAUGAUGGGAAGAGUAUAUUAAGAGUCAUGCCCAUAUCUAACAUUUAUAUAUUGUUAACAGCCGUGACCGUAUCUAGCUUUACAUCCUUGCGUACGAGUGUAUAAGCAUGUGUGCAUGUGACGUACGUAUCAGGCAUGGUAUAUAUAAGGUGUAUAAGCAUGUGUGCAUGUGAAGUACGAGUGCUCGAUAUUUUCAUUCAUGUAUAUAAGAUCAAGUAUACAUAAAUAAACCUCAUUGUACAAAGGCAGGGCCAAGAGCAGGAACAAAAUAAUAUGGAAUAUCUCAUAUGAUUGCAUCUGGUUAAUUCAGAUACGAUGGCAAAAAACAAUCUUGCAACAUCCGUAGGAAAUAAGCAAGGCAAAAAUUAAUCCACCUUCCAAGAGAUGUGUCACACGUUGUCUCUCAGAAAGCAAAGCUGCCUCUCUCGGUGUCAUGCAAAUUAGUCAUACAAAAAUCAAUUCCAUAGCAAUCAGCCGCAAAAAUUUUAAAGAAGCCUUGGGUUAAAGGUUUUCAUCCCUCUAUGAUUGCUCUAAGUGUCCAGGAUCUGCAAGAGUUGUUAAUAAGCAAUCGAGACAUCCCUGAGAACUGUUUCAAAAUAGGGGUUUAUUUUCAGACGGCUCGAGAGUAUAAUAUAAUGAAAAAAUGCAAUAAUAUUACGAAGCAUCACAUGGACCUGAGAUUUUGCAUAAGUAUAUUUUUGCAUGGAGUCUAACUUCAAUAGGAUAAAUUAGGUGAUAUAUUAUAUUUUCUUAUCUUUUCCAAGAACCAAGAUAUACUAAUCUUGACUCUCAUUAUUCUUCUCUUUCAGAGAAUGUGUGCUUUAACAAAGAUGGCAGAAUAUCGUAAAAAUACACUAUGAUGGUUGCUGUGAUUGAUAUAUGUGAGGAUAUGAAAUACAACUUAGCACAAUGCAGAUAUGUAAGUCUUCUACUCCUACUUUUAUUACUUGUUGACUAUUCUAAUCGUUAUUUUGCCAUGGCUAUACGUUCGAAAAUAUAUGCUCUAUGUUUUCGAUCAGCAGGAAAAAAUACUUAUCAUGAUUGAUCCUAAACCUGUUGAAGAGUGGUGUAAAGACACACCAGCACUCAUGUAUGUGAAAUAUACUCUUGGAUUUUGCUUCAACUAUACGACCGUAGUGAAUAAACAUAUUCCUGGAUGGGACGAGGAUGUUUUUAAAUGGAAAUUUAAACGUGUAAAAAACAUUGCAGAGGAAAUAGAUGGGUACUUAAGUGAAUUUCUCAUCCUAUAAUAUAUGUCUACAUGGAAUAGACCAAAAGCCACACAUAUUUAUACAGAUGGUACAGAGAUGCGGCGGAAUUUAUUUGUGGAUUUACUGGCGCACGGAAGAAAUAGAUGUCGGAGAUAUCUUUGUGUCAAUAUUAAACAUUAUCUCAGCCGUAUCACGGAAAGGUCUAUAAAAUAGAGUUUGUAAGCCUACAACGUCGUGCUCUUCGUGACUGUGUUUGUGAACUUUGCUUUUUUAGAUAAAUGUC